ACCUGCGCCUCAUCGAGAUGCAAUACAUCGGUGCCCCCACUUAGGCAUACACCAGUGUGUGCCACACCCGGCCCCAGCAGGGGGAUUAAAGAAACGAGCCGAAAGUAAAUAUCAACACUGACGAAAUGAUGAGUUGCAGAAAUUGAAGACUUCCUUAGCGAAUUAAGCUGCUAAAACAAACUGCUAACUAUUAACUAGUACCUAACACUAUACCAUCUAGCCCUAAGAAAGUGAAUUAACCCAAAUUGAAUUGCCCUUAGUCGUAUGAUUACCAGUGAAUUCAAAUAACUCCAAUUUGUACUUUAGCGCAUAGAAAAAUAAGGUGCACAGGAGCAGAAGGUAGCUUGAUACCCUAACAAGCCUCGGAUGCAAAGCAGCAUUAGCCAAAUCCGAGAUCCAGGGGUUCCCAGAUCAAUCGAGACGGAGCAUAAUUGUUUGAAAGUAGAUUGCAGCUAGAUCACUAAAAGUAAGUUUUUUGCGUCUAAAUUUAUAUUUGUCAUUAGUAAAAAUUGCCUAUUGUAGGAAUUUUAUAAUUUACUUCAACAAUUGAAUAAAUUCAUCGAAUUUGGACCUAGCUGCCGCCGGUUUUUAC